rnacentral:rRNA from 1 species
UAGGGAAUCUUCCACAAUGGACGCAAGUCUGAUGGAGCAACGCCGCGUGAGUGAAGAAGGCUUUCGGGUCGUAAAACUCUGUUAUUGAAGAAGAACGUGUGUGACAGUAACUGGUCAUGCAGUGACGGUAUUCAAUCAGAAAGUCACGGCUAACUACGUGCCAGCAGCCGCGGUAAUACGUAGGUGGCAAGCGUUGUCCGGAUUUAUUGGGCGUAAAGCGAGUGCAGGCGGUCUUUUAAGUCUGAUGUGAAAGCCUUCGGCUUAACCGAGAAGGGCAUCGGAAACUGGGAGACUUGAGUGCAGAAGAGGAGAGUGGAACUCCAUGUGUAGCGGUGAAAUGCGUAGA